ANGCCUAACACAUGCAAAUCGAACGGUAACAGGAAGCAGCUUGCUGCUUCGCUGACGAGUGGCGGACGGGUGAGUAAUGUCUGGGUAACUGCCUGAUGGAGGGGGAUAACUACUGGAAACGGUAGCUAAUACCGCAUAACGUCGCAAGACCAAAGAGGGGGACCUUCGGGCCUCUUGCCAUCGGAUGUGCCCAGAUGGGAUUAGCUAGUAGGUGGGGUAACGGCUCACCUAGGCGACGAUCCCUAGCUGGUCUGAGAGGAUGACCAGCCACACUGGAACUGAGACACGGUCCAGACUCCUACGGGAGGCAGCAGUGGGGAAUAUUGCACAAUGGGCGCAAGCCUGAUGCAGCCAUGCCGCGUGUAUGAAGAAGGCCUUCGGGUUGUAAAGUACUUUCAGCGGGGAGGAAGGUGUUGAGGUUAAUAACCUCAGCAAUUGACGUUACCCGCAGAAGAAGCACCGGCUAACUCCGUGCCAGCAGCCGCGGUAAUACGGAGGGUGCAAGCGUUAAUCGGAAUUACUGGGCGUAAAAGCGCCACGA
rnacentral:rRNA from 1 species